GAAAUGCGAUAAGUAAUGUGAAUUGCAGAAUUCAGUGAAUCAUCGAAUCUUUGAACGCACAUUGCGCCCGCCAGCACUCUGGCGGGCAUGCCUGUUCGAGCGUCAUUUCAACCCUCAGAACCCCUUGCGGGAUCUGGCGUUGGGGAUUGGCAUCCAGCCAGCCCCGAAAUCUAGUGGCGGUCCCUCCGCGACCUCCCCUGUGCAGUAGCGAUACCUCGCAGCGGGACAGCGGUCUGACCACGCCGUAAAACCCCCAACUUCUCAAGGUUGACCUCGAAUCAGGUAGGAAUACCCACUGAACUUGAGC
rnacentral:misc_RNA from 1 species